rnacentral:rRNA from 1 species
UACAGAGGGUGCUAGCGUUGUUCGGAAUCAUUGGGCGUAAAGGGCGUGUAGGCGGUUUGUUAAGUCAUGUGUGAAAUCCCCCGGCUUAACCUGGGAACUGCGUCUGAUACUGGGAGGCUUGAGUAUGGGAGAGGGAUGUAGAAUUCCAGGUGUAGCGGUGAAAUGCGUAGAUAUCUGGAGGAAUACCGGUGGCGAAGGCGGCAUCCUGGACCAUAACUGACGCUGAGGCGCGAAAGCUAGGGGAGCAAACGGGG